CCGCAUGGUUCAAUCAUAAAAGGUGGCUUUCAGCUACCACUUACAGAUGGACCCGCGGCGCAUUAGCUAGUUGGUGAGGUAACGGCUCACCAAGGCGACGAUGCGUAGCCGACCUGAGAGGGUGAUCGGCCACACUGGGACUGAGACACGGCCCAGACUCCUACGGGAGGCAGCAGUAGGGAAUCUUCCGCAAUGGACGAAAGUCUGACGGAGCAACGCCGCGUGAGUGAUGAAGGUUUUCGGAUCGUAAAACUCUGUUGUUAGGGAAGAACAAGUACCGUUCGAAUAGGGCGGCACCUUGACGGUACCUAACCAGAAAGCCACGGCUAACUACGUGCCAGCAGCCGCGGUAAUACGUAGGUGGCAAGCGUUGUCCGGAAUUAUUGGGCGUAAAGCGCGCGCAGGCGGUUUCUUAAGUCUGAUGUGAAAGCCCCCGGCUCAACCGGGGAGGGUCAUUGGAAACUGGGGAACUUGAGUGCAGAAGAGGAGAGUGGAAUUCCACGUGUAGCGGUGAAAUGCGUAGAGAUGUGGAGGAACACCAGUGGCGAAGGCGACUCUCUGGUCUGUAACU
rnacentral:rRNA from 1 species